rnacentral:rRNA from 1 species
CCUACGGGAGGCAGCAGUGAGGAAUAUUGGUCAAUGGACGGAAGCCUGAACCAGCCAUGCCGCGUGAAGGAAGACGGCCCUAUGAGUUGUAAACUGCUUUUGUACAAGGGUAAACCUGAAUACGUGUAUUCAGCUGAAAGUACUGUACGAAUAAGGAUCGGCUAACUCCGUGCCAGCAGCCGCGGUAAUACGGAGGAUCCAAGCGUUAUCCGGAUUUAUUGGGUUUAAAGGGUGCGUAGGCGGAUUGAUAAGUUAGAGGUGAAAUGUCCGGGCUUAACUCGGGAACUGCCUCUAAUACUGUUGAUCUAGAGAGUAGGUGCGGGAGGCGGAAUGUAUGGUGUAGCGGUGAAAUGCUUAGAGAUCUUGCAGAACACCGGUUGCGAAGGCAGCUUACCAAUCUAUAUCUGACGUUGAGGCACGAAAGCGUGGGGAGCAAACAGGAUUAGAUACCCUUGUAGUC